CCCAGAUUUCGUCCGCAAUCAUCCCACGAUUUGGCUUCAUCCCAUUCGAAUCAAACACUCCAUCCAAGCUUCACGGAACAGAGCAACCUCUCACGGGAUAAACUCAACGUCCCAACUCAUCUCCCCUUCAUCCCGUGUGCAUGCCAUUAGGACCCAAGGAACAGAUUCCGCAUCUCCUGCAUCUGCAACAUCCCAAACUUCCACACGUGGAUCCCAACCUU
rnacentral:lncRNA from 1 species